UAGAGAAUGUACAGUUAAAAAUAAAAUGAGGUCCUAGAGUUUCCAGGUUUUCUUCUUUGAAAUUAUUGAACACAUUUUUGAAAAUGUGGUCUGAUCGUCAUUCAAACUCCCUUUUGUUUCUGAGAGCAUGAGGAUCUAAGGAAUGUACUUGCUCUAUGUUAAAAUGAUAAGAAGUGUGUAAUUCAGAUAAGAUCCAAAUGUAAACCUAAUUAUCAUAAUUUAUCAUUUCAUUCUCCAUUGUUAACAGGUUCUUCCAGAAGAAGUCAUUUGAAGUGCAAGGUAACUUGUGUAAGCUUAUCACCCAGAAGAAUACGUGAAAUCAGAUGAGGAAGCAAAUUGUGUGGGAUCUGGAGCAAGAGGACUUGAAAGGAGAGGAUGUCCUGGCAUUAAAUCUCCUCUUUCGUAACUCUCACAUGCAAAUAAACUGUUCUGCUGUGAAAUCACAGUGUGUGUUUGGAUUUUUUAAUCUCUAAUGAGUUAUACACAUGAAAACACAUUAUUCCCAGAGAAGCUCAUGUGGGUUUAUAAUGAUCUGACUAUGCAAAUACUUGUAAGUUAGAGUUAGCAAUGAAUUCAUUUAACUUUGAAAUAAAAUCCUGCUCAAAGAUUAAAUUUGGCAUGAGAUUUAAAAAAAAUAUUUGUAUUUUUAUUAUAUAUGGAAGAUAAGGUGAUGAGGGGAAUAUGAUUUUGACAAGUCUAAGCACAAAUUCUGUAGAGCUAAGCUUCAGCAGGUGGGAUCUUUGAUGACGGCAAUAUAUAAAAAGAAUAUUUGUAAAAACUUUAAUACUAUUAUACAUAGUUUUCUGUGUAUAUAGAGGCACAUCUCAGAAAUGAAUCCUUCUAACAGACUGAGAAUCUGAGGGAUACUUUGCAAAGAGACCUGAAAGAUGACUCCUGAAAAUAUGCUGAUUCAUAAUCUGUUACAGUUAGCCUGUUAAUAAUUAAUGCUGCUAAUACUGUGUAUUUCAGAGCAGUAUGAAAAAAGUUAAACUCUUCAGAGUAUCUUUAUAAUCCCUGUUUAUUUGACCUUACUGGAGAUUCAACUUUUAUUCUGCAUUUGUAGAGGUCAGCACUUCUGAUUAUAUAGCAGACCAUUUUUGUAGUAGGUCUGUAAGAUCUCAGGUUGUUAGAAUAAACACUAGACUUCUGUUGGAUGAUCAGAAGCAAACACUGAAGAUGUGGCCUUUGGUUUUCUUCCUUAUUGCACUUUUACAUGACCAAAAUGAAAAUUCUUAGCUUUAAGGUCAAAUAUGUUAAAAAGUUAGUAUGAAAAACUGGACUCCGUAAAAAUUUUUGGUGGAAUCUUUUCCAGUAGACUUAUCCAUGAUAUGCUGGCUGAUGAACUAAAUGAAGCCCAAAUUGUCUUUUUAUGCUGAGCAAAACUGAAUUCCAUGUACAUAUUAUGUAUGUAACUUGCAUCAAAGACUUUAAUAAUUAUAAAAAAGAAGAAAUUUUUAUUACUUUUGCUGUCAAUGACUUUUAAGAAAUAGAAUUUUUCUACUCACAAUGGACUUAAGGAGCAAUUAAUGAAAUUCCAAACAAACCUCUGCUUUGUCUCUAUUGGUUACCAUUUGUCAAAUAUUAGCUUGUGAAAUUUCUAAGCCUUCAAAUAUUUUGGCUACAUCCAUGUUUUAUUUCUUCUUUCAUUUCCCCAUAUUCCAUAAUUCUUUUAUGUUAAGUUUAGAAAAGAGUAUAUAUUCCUGUCUACUUAUAAAUAGGAGCUCUGAUAUAGUAUCUUACUGUCUGCCAGUAUUGCUUUAAACAAUCUGAAAAGCAAUAAUUAUAUUAUUUAUCUUUUCCUUUUCAGGACAAGUAACACAGUCAAGAAUCUUGCUAUGGAAGUACUACUCUUCAUUUUCAAUGUUAAACAAGAUGAUAUUUUAAAAAAAAAAAAAAUAUAUUGUGAUUAUAGAAAUGAGUCUUGCCUCCAGAUAAGGUCCUACCUCCUAGAGGAAUUUACCCCAGGAUUUCAGCAACAAGUGUCCUGGGCUGCAUCAAAAGAAGUGUGACCAGCAGGUUGAGGGAGGGGAUUCUGCCCCUCUACUCCGCUCUUGUGAGACCCCACCUGGAGUACUGCAUCCAGCUCUCAGGGCCCCAGUACAGGAGAGACAUGGAGCUGUUGGAGCGAGUCCAGAGGAGGGCCACAAAGCUGAUCAGAGGGCUGGAGCACCUCUCCUAUGAAGACAGGCUGAGAGAGUUGUUCAGCCUGGAGAAGAGAAGGCUCCCCGGGGAGAUCUAAUUGCAGCUUACCAGUACCUGAAGGAGGCCUACAGGAAAGCUGGAGAGGGACUGUUUAUCAGGGAGUGUAGUGACAGGACAAGGGGGUAAUGGAUUUACGCUAAAAGAGGGUAGAUUUAGAUAUUAGGAAGAAAUUCUUCACUGUGAGGGUGGUGAGGCACUGGAACAGGUUGCCCAGAGAAGCUGUGGAUGCCCCAUCCCUGGAAGUGUUCAAGGCCAGGUUGGAUGGGGCUUUGGGCAACAUGGUCUAGUGGAGGGUGUCCCUGCCUGCAGCAGGGGAGUUGGAACUACAUGAUCUUUAAGGUCCCUUCCAACCCACAACCAUUCUAUGAUUCUAUGAACUUGGGUUAAAUGGAUAAACAAGUUCCUAUGUGUGAAUACAGGUAACGGACUCAUGUACCACUUCUCUUUUCGUUGUGUUCUAUGCUUAUGCUGUUUUGAUUUUAGUAGUCACAUGAAAUCAUGGCACAGUUUCUUCUGAGGUAAAUCCGUGAUAUCCUGCCAUAAUUUCUAAGUAGUGACUCAGAGAGAAAGAUAGUGGCAUUUACCAGUAUUUAAUUAUCCCUCUCUUCCAUCUCUGAAAAUCAAUGUUAUUAUUAUGUUUAUUUACAAGUAUUUAAAUGUAAGCCUUUGUGUCUCCAGAAAGCUGGAGAGGAAAUUUUUACCAGGACAUGUAGUGAUAGGACAUGGGGUAAUGGCUUUAAACUAAAAGAGGGUAGAUUUAGAUUAGAUAUUAGGAAGAAAUUCUUCCCUGUGAGGGUGGUGAGGCACUGGGACAGGUUGCCCAGAGAGGCUGUGGAUGCCCCCUCCCUGGAAGUGUUCAAGGCCAGGUUGGAUGGGCCUUUGGGCAACGUGGUCUAGUGGAGGGUGUCCCUGCCCAUGGCAGGGGGCUUGGAACUAGGUGAUCCUUAAGGUUGCUUCCAACCCAAGCCAAACAAUUCUAUGAUUCUAAUACAAGCCCUUUACCUCUUUUAUGUGAAAACUAGUGUUUUAUGUGCAAAUAGCGGAAGAUAAUAAGGUACUAUAAUUGAUUACCACUAAAAAAAAUAAUCAAAGGAAGACUUUCUUAUUUUUUACAUCCUAACAGACUUAAAAGAAUACGCCAGAAAAAUUGUGGAAUGAAACAAAAAAUAGCUAAAACAUUGACAUUAAGGAUGAUUUAUUAAUUCCCACUGCAAAAAAGCGAAACUAUUUUCUGCAGUAGAGGAUCUUGUACUAAAAAAAACGAAGUCGAGAAUACAGUAUAUUCUCAUUACAGUCUUGAAAACUGAAAAAUAUUUGAGUCUAUUAUUGGUGUAUAACUAAGUCCCAGAAAGACCUUCCGUCUUUGAUGAGACCAUGGAAAAAGAAGAAUAAUGAAUCUUUGUUUAUGCUUUCUGAUUUCUAAUUUACUGUACUGCACAAUCUUAGCUCAUGCACUUUCAGCACUGAGAUCAGUUUUCAUUAGCAAGCCAUAAGCAGUAGCAAAGCAACUGAAAGGAAGAAAGAAGCCAUAAUACAGUACCAAAAAAUCAGCCUUUAGUUUAAUGGAGCAUCUGGAACAUACUAACUUUACUGAGUCUUACUUAUUAGUGUUACAGAGUUCAACUAAGUGCUGUUAAGGGUGUAUAACUAAUUUUUCUAUUAAUAAUUUUUAAAUGAGACUGAAGUUAGCUUUUAAUGCUGCAAGCUUUUUAAUUGCUGCACUUAGGCAAGUCCUGCUAUAGAUUAUGGAGAAAUAAAUUCUGGUCUUCUCUUAUUUGCA